CCAGGAUAUUCCGAGUCCACCUCUCCUUCCUUUUCCAUCUCACUUAAAUCUCAUUCCCCUAAGGAUCUUCUGUUGUUUUCUGACUUUUAUCUUUCAUUCCAGAGAGAGGGAACUGCCAGCUGGGGAGAGUUACCUGAGUUCUGAGUGUAGAACACCAGGGGAGAGAAGCCUUGAGCUCAUACAAGUGGAAUUCUGUGCAGGGAGAUUCUCAGAAAUAAGUUUCUUUAGCUCCCUCUCUCUUCGUCUUGUGUGCUAGUAGAUUCCCAUACUGCUUCUGCCUGUUUGAAUGAUGUGUCAGUAAAGAUGGAAGGUUUAACCCAAACUCUACAUCUACAGAGGAGUUUCUCAAGAACUAAAAGAGUCAGAUGCAACUGGCUGCAUAACCCUCAUAUGACACUGAUUGAAGAAAAAUGCACUGAAUAAUAGAUAACAAACUGAGAAUCUUAAGAUAAUGCACAAAGUGACACAGGAUCCAUCUGGAAGAAAACCUCACCCAAAGACAAGGAACUUGGAGAGGAAACAACUAGGUGAAGACCUCAUGGAAAAGAAGGUAGUGCCAAUUAUGGACGUGUGAAAGGGCAUUGCUCAGAUGAAUCCUGUGAAUUUGUGCCAGCUGCUUGUGACUAGCAGGUACAAUUGUCCCUGAGUGUCUGCAGAAGAUGGAUUCCAUGACCCUAUGGAGAGUUAACCCUUAUGGCUACCAAAAUCUGUGAAUGCUCAAUCCUCUACUGUAUAAUGCAGCCUCUUGACUCUGGUGAGAAAAGGACUUCUCUCUUUGACCUCUUCCCCAGCCAGCCAUCAGCUCCACCCCAGAAAAAGCCUGCCUGGGUUCCUGAUCUAAUCACUGUGGUCUGAGUGAUUGUGCCUCUGCUGGACUUAAAGCCUAAGGCUUGAGACUUUUGAUCUGACACUUGACUUAGCCUGCAGAGGGUAUGUCU